UCUACCCUGUGGCUGACAGACAUAAUGAUGGGCAGCAUUAGUCUAUCUGUUAGUUUGCUGCUUCCCCCUUUUCUAGUGUCUACCUUGUGGAUGAUAUCAAAUGAAGGGCAGCAUUCGUCUACAUGUUGUCUUGCUGCUUUCGAGGCUUGAUUUCUUGUCUGUUUUGCCCUGCACACUUCCUAAUGCUCAAUGGUGCUCUCAGACAAGGCACAGCAUAAAACACAAUCAGCAUGAAUCUCUGAAGUCCUGAACAAGGGUCUCAGCCUGAAACGUUCACCGUUUAUUUAUUUCUGUACAUGCUGCCUGACCUGCCGAGUUCCUCUGAUGAGACGUGGCUGUGAAACAAUAUCAUAUUCUGGAGCCUCCUCCUUGGUGGUUGUAGGAGUUGACUCUGGGACUGCAGGAAUUAGUUCUGGCAGCCCUGGAUACCUUUCUUCAGGACGUGUUUGUAUCCUGAACAGCACAUAGAAAGCUGCUUGAUCUGCUAAUCUAUCCCAGGCUACCAGACAAAGCUUCGAGCCAAUGCUUUCAUUUGGACAAUGCCUGGAUCAUCAGCAUGUAGCUCCUCCAACACUUUAGCUCUUAGUCUGGGUGCUACAACGGCUCUCAAUCCCCACUUAAGGCAACCUUCAUCAAGGGGAACAUGAUGCAAAGGCUAUGGGGCGUUCACUUCCAUCACUUAUGUAGACAUGUGACAUGACUACGUCUUCACCAUAAAGCAAGGCGUCAUCACAGGCAAGCUUCACUGGACGAUUUGCAUCAUAAUGUAAUUUGUUACCAGCAACUGGUCCACCAAUGCGGUAAGGAACACUUCUGCUGGAUCACGACCAGACUCACUGAAAGAAAUAGAUCCGUACAUUACAAGAAGAAAAUUACACCUGUGUGAAUCCCUGCAGCAUCUGAUGAUCCUGUGCUCUCUACUUCAGAGGCCGACAACAGAACAUCUUUCAAGAG